AUUAGCGCCAUCCAUCUGCAGCGAUACGGGCCUGCUGUCUGCCAGCUCUUUCGUCCUGCAAUUAAUUUUGUCUUUGUUUCUGAUUUAGGUUUAGUGGUGGUUAUAUUUUUUUGUUUUGUUUUUGUUCUUUUUUGGUUUUUUUUCUUUCCUUCUUACAUUUCUUCCUUGUGUUAGGUUGCGAAUGCAAGAUGUGGCCGGGGGUGUGUAUUCUAUUGCCAGCUGUUAGAGGUGGGGUAGUUUUCUUUAUCUCUUCCAGGACCUAUCCUCCCUCUGGGAAAUAUUUUCUGUUAAUGGGCCAUGGAGUCUGUUAUGAAUGAGGUCCCAUAUGUCCAAUUCCAUAAACCACAGACUUAAAAUUUAGCAGCAGUUUUAAUUGAGGUCAGCAAUUUUCAUUGAGAUUAAAUAAUACAAGCAGAUAUAAUUCAAUAGUUACAGAAAAGAAAUUUGGCAGUGGCUCAGAUAAAGCAUAAGCAAAAACCAAUUGAUUGGGGUAUGGGGAGGGGUUCCCACCCUGCCUCACAUACAAAGGCAAAAGGAUCCAAACACAACUUGUAUACUGUAUGCUGAUACAUAUUCAUCAAUAGUUCCAUAAAUCUCCUCACAUUUUUGAUUCUUGAAAUCUACAUCACUCUACUGCACAGCACAUUCUCCCAUUAUUGCUAUGGGGUCUUCUGGUCUCUUCAGGGGUCUUCUAGGAGGAAGGCUGAAGGUCUUCCUCUCUGUCCUCUGGAUAACCUGGCAGAAAUUGCAUCCAUUCAGAAGAAGUCUUACUGCAUGACUGAUAAAAUUACAUCAUCCUAUUGUGAGAUGCCCCACCCGGGAGGAGGAGCCAAGCAUUCCUAUGAUCAUAUCAAGUGGAUUCACCAAGGUAGAUCCCUGAACAUGCUGAAGCCUUUUGAAAUGUAGGACAGCAGUCCUAGCUUUUGUCUUCUUUCCUCCCUUCAAGAUCCUGAACUCUAUUUUAAUACAGUUCAUUUCCAGUGAAAAUAUUGAUUUAAGUGGUGAAGGAUGCCGAGAUCAGCCUGACCAACAAUCCUAAGUAAAAUCCAUCACAGGGAUGUGAAAGAUAGAUGUGUCCUGACAAAGACUGACACAAGCAAGGAUGUGAAAGACAGAUGUUUACAGAAGGAGAGAAACAAACAAGUGACAACAUCAUAUUUAAAAAUAAAGCUGGCAUAUCAGUGACUAGCCUAGCAACAUGUUGGAAUGCAUGAAACAGAAGCCUCUCUGAGCUCCUAAGAGAGAGAAAGGAAUGCAAGGAUUGAAUUAGAGCCUUUAGAGAAAUUGAGAUCUAUUAAGCCACACAGAUGUGAAGUAGAAAUGUAAGUUUUAGUUUUAAGUAAGUAGAAAUAUCUUAAGUGCCUUAAGAGACUGUGUUAGCUAGUAGAAGGCCCUAAAGCCUAAUUUAAAGGUCAGUAGUGUUACCUUUCACAAAUUAACUUAGCUCCAGACAUAACAAAAACAUAGAGGAACAUUGCUUGCAUUUCUAGAUAGAACAGAUGGAACUAUAUGCAUAAAGACAUAAAGCUAUUUGCAUAAAUAGAUACAAUUAUAUGCAUAGAUUUGGGGUAAAAAACUGACAUUACUUUCACACAUUAGAAUUAAGCUUAGAUUGGUUUAGGAAGAAUGUUUUAGAAUUGUGCUUUUAGCUGAUUGGAUGAUUUAUGAAUAAAAUCCAUGUAUUGGGGUGGGAGAAAAAGUGGAAGAAGAAGAAGAAAGUGUGGGAGCUGCUGUUGCUGAUGCUUUUGCUCAAAACACUGUGACCCUAUGCCAGAAAGCUUUUAGCAUGGAAUUUAAUACUCUGAACUCCUUGCCUUCGAGGCUGAUGUAUUCAUGCAAUAAACAACUUUACUGCAACCAACAACUGCUCUCAAUUCUUUGAAGACCUAAGAGCCACGAUAUCUGAUAUCCUCAACAGCAACAUAUGACUGACAUUCAAUCACUUUGUGCUAUUAAGGCACAGUCCCACGUUCCAGUAGGGAGGACUUGUGGGAAUGUAUGUGGAGAUUCCUCCCUUGAGUGGGGAGGCCCCUCAGUGUUAAUCCUUGAGCCUGAGCAAAAAAUAUUUCCCCAUGGUCAUCAGUAUGGGUAACACCAAUCUACUUGAUAAUUAUUAAGAUUUUGUUUCACAGUUAAAAAGGGAGGGAAUUCUUUCUGAACCUUGUGUUUAUAUGCAUAUACUUGUGUUACAGCCAAGUUGAUUAUAAAAUCCCCCGUUUGCAUAAGCCCUCGUAAUUUUCUUGAUAACCUCGUUCAUCACAUCUUCAUUUGAUUGUCAUCCUCUCUUCCUCAUCAUUCUUAGUCUAAAGCUCUUACCAGCUUCAACAUCCUGUUGAUAAGGAUGCCCCAUCACCUUAGGCCACUGUAUCCCAGUUCUUCCAAGCAACAUUCAGGCCUCAAAGAACAAACCACGUUCAUAGAAACCAAAACCCCAUCAUAGUUGACCAGCAGGGCUGAGGAUACACAAGAUGGGCUCUUAUUCCUCUUCACCACCACUCCAGAACUAUAUGUAUCAUAUUUGAUGCUAUCCAAAUCUCUCCAGUAAUUAGAAAAAUAGAAAAUUAGAGAGGAUUUGAUGCCCACGUGAAAAAGCAGCAGGUAUCAGAGAGCCAGAGAGGUUUCUGCAGGCUCUCCACGAUAAAUCAGAGUCCCUGAAAAGCAGCGAAGUUGUGAAAUGAAAGAUUUUCCAGAGAUCACUUGAGCUAACAAAAUGAAUGUAUCAAAAAUGAAUGUAUCAUGUUUGUAGAAUCAUGUGUUGAAUUUUAAGAAACCUCUGCACAAAAGGAAUAGGAAAGAAAACAAAGAUCUUUAAAGCUUCUUGCAAAAAGACAAAUACCGGAAAAGACUAGGAAUGCAAAGAAUUCAGACAAGGAAGCCCCUCUGUUUCCAAACAUGUCAAGGAUGAUGGACUUAUCCAGAUAAGAUAGCAAAGGACCAAAAGGCAUGCGCAGAGGAGAAGAGUUCAAAAGUUCAGUGCAGAGGAAGAUGAUGGUUUUAAGCCUCAAAGACCACCAGGGACCCCCAUAAAAGCCCCCACAAAAAACCACCCAUGCCCAGAAGGGCGUGGACCUAUUUAUCAUGAGAGGCAAAGACAGGCGGGGCCAGGGGUUGAAU
ensembl:lncRNA